AACCGUAGACGGAAGCUAUUUAAGGCGGGCGGAAGCUUCAGCCAAUGAGAAAGCUCAGACACAGAGGAGUUCCGGUGGGAGUGCUUUCGCGGGGAGUUGAAAAAAAGCAGAGCUAACCGCAUCUGCUAUUUUCUGGUUGCGGAGGUUGGACGAAUAGAAGUCAGACCUGUAUGACAAGCACAAGGCAAAUCCUAAAAUGAAUCAAUCUUCUUUUAAAAUACUGUAGUGUCUGGGGAGAUGGCUCAACUUGGCAGAUGGUCAUCUGCCAAACAUGAUGACCUGAGUUUGAUCUCUGGAACCCAUACUAUAGAAGGAGAGAGCCAGCUCCUGCAAGUUGUCCUCUGAAUUCCACACAUGAGAAGUGUUACUUCACUCCCAAAUAAGUAAACAAAAUGUAAUAAAACAUUUACAGCA